AAAUUGAAGAGUUUGAUCAUGGCUCAGAUUGAACGCUGGCGGCAGGCCUAACACAUGCAAGUCGAACGGUAACAGAAAUCAGCUUGCUGAUUUGCUGACGAGUGGCGGACGGGCGAGUAAUGUCUGGGAAACUGCCUGAUGGAGGGGGGUAACUACUGGAAACGGUAGCUAAUACCGCAUAACGUCGCAAGACCAAAGAGGGGGACCUUCGGGCC
rnacentral:rRNA from 1 species